CCUACGGGGGGCAGCAGUGGGGAAUAUUGGGCAAUGGGCGAAAGCCUGACCCAGCAACGCCGCGUGAAGGAAGAAGGCUUUCGGGUUGUAAACCUCUUUUAAGAGGGAAGAGCAGAAGACGGUACCUCUUGAAUAAGCCACGGCUAACUAAGUGACAGGAGCAGCGGUAAUACGUAGGUGGCAAGCGUUGUCCGAAUUCACUGGGUGUAAAGGGCGUGUAGUCGGGCUGUCAAGUCAGAUGUGAAAUCCGGGGGCUCAACCACCGAACUGCAUUGGAAACUGUUGGUCUUGAGUAUCGGAGAGGCAGGCGGAAUUCCUGGUGUAGCGGUGAAAUGCGUAGAUAUGAGGAGGAACACCAGUGGCGAAGGCGGCCUGCUGGACGACAACUGACGGUGAGGCGCGAAAGCGUGGGGAGCAAACAGGAUUAGAUACCCGGGUAGUC
rnacentral:rRNA from 1 species